UAGGGAAUCUUCGGCAAUGGGGGGAACCCUGACCGAGCAACGCCGCGUGAGUGAAGAAGGUUUUCGGAUCGUAAAGCUCUGUUGUUAAGGAAGAACGAGUGUGAGAAUGGAAAGUUCAUACUGUGACGGUACUUAACCAGAAAGGGACGGCUAACUACGUGCCAGCAGCCGCGGUAAUACGUAGGUCCCGAGCGUUGUCCGGAUUUAUUGGGCGUAAAGCGAGCGCAGGCGGUUAGAUAAGUCUGAAGUUAAAGGCAGUGGCUCAACCAUUGUAGGCUUUGGAAACUGUUUAACUUGAGUGCAGAAGGGGGGGGUGGAAAUCCAUGUGUAGCGGUGAUAUGCGUAGAUAUAUGAAGGAACACCGGUGGCGAAAGCGGCUCUCUGGUCUGUAACUGACGCAGAGGCUCGAAAGCGUGGGGAGCGAACAGG
rnacentral:rRNA from 1 species